rnacentral:piRNA from 1 species
UAUCCACGGACCACCUACUCCCACAGAU